CGGGGUGUAGCGCAGUUGGUAGCGCGCCUGCUUUGGGAGCAGGAUGCCGCAGGUUCGAAUCCUGUCACUCCGACCA
rnacentral:tRNA from 6 species